ACGACUCUCGGCAACGGAUAUCUCGGCUCUCGCAUCGAUGAAGAACGUAGCGAAAUGCGAUACUUGGUGUGAAUUGCAGAAUCCCGUGAACCAUCGAGUCUUUGAACGCAAGUUGCGCCCGAAGCCGUCAGGCCGAGGGCACGCCUGCCUGGGUGUCACG
rnacentral:rRNA from 7 species